rnacentral:rRNA from 1 species
GCAGUCGAACGGUGAAGCCCAGCUUGCUGGGUGGAUCAGUGGCGAACGGGUGAGUAACACGUGAGCAACCUGCCCCUGACUCUGGGAUAAGCGCUGGAAACGGCGUCUAAUACUGGAUAUGUACCACGAUCGCAUGGUCUGUGGUUGGAAAGAUUUUUCGGUUGGGGAUGGGCUCGCGGCCUAUCAGCUUGUUGGUGAGGUAAUGGCUCACCAAGGCGUCGACGGGUAGCCGGCCUGAGAGGGUGACCGGCCACACUGGGACUGAGACACGGCCCAGACUCCUACGGGAGGCAGCAGUGGGGAAUAUUGCACAAUGGGCGCAAGCCUGAUGCAGCAACGCCGCGUGAGGGAUGACGGCCUUCGGGUUGUAAACCUCUUUUAGCAGGGAAGAAGCGAAAGUGACGGUACCUGCAGAAAAAGCGCCGGCUAACUACGUGCCAGCAGCCGCGGUAAUACGUAGGGCGCAAGCGUUAUCCGGAAUUAUUGGGCGUAAAGAGCUCGUAGGCGGUUUGUCGCGUCUGCUGUGAAAUCCGGAGGCUCAACCUCCGGCCUGCAGUGGGUACGGGCAGACUAGAGUGCGGUAGGGGAGAUUGGAAUUCCUGGUGUAGCGGUGGAAUGCGCAGAUAUCAGGAGGAACACCGAUGGCGAAGGCAGAUCUCUGGGCCGUAACUGACGCUGAGGAGCGAAAGGGUGGGGAGCAAACAGGCUUAGAUACCCUGGUAGUCCACCCCGUAAACGUUGGGAACUAGUUGUGGGGUCCAUUCCACGGAUUCCGUGACGCAGCUAACGCAUUAAGUUCCCCGCCUGGGGAGUACGGCCGCAAGGCUA